UACGUAGGGGCCUAGCGUUGUUCGGAGUUACUGGGCGUAAAGGGCGCGUAGGCGGCGAUCCAAGUUAGGCGUGAAAGCCCCGGGCCUAACCUGGGAAUUGCGCUUAAGACUGGACUGCUUGAGUGCGGGAGAGGUGAGUGGAAUUCCCAGUGUAGAGGUGAAAUUCGUAGAUAUUGGGAAGAACACCAGUGGCGAAGGCGGCUCACUGGCCCGCAACUGACGCUGAGGCGCGAAAGCGUGGGGAGCAAACAGG
rnacentral:rRNA from 1 species